rnacentral:rRNA from 1 species
AUUGAACGCUGGCGGCAUGCCUAACACAUGCAAGUCGAACGGCAGCAUGGUCUAGCUUGCUAGACUGAUGGCGAGUGGCGGACGGGUGAGUAACGCGUAGGAAUAUACCUUAAAGAGAGGGACAACUUGGGGAAACUCAAGCUAAUACCGCAUGUACUCUGAGGAGUAAAGCUGGGGACCGAAAGGCCUGGCGCUUUAAGCAUAGCCUGCGUCCGAUUAGCUAGUUGGUAGGGUAAAGGCCUACCAAGGCGAUGAUCGGUAGCUGGUCUGAGAGGAUGGCCAGCCACACUGGGACUGAGACACGGCCCAGACUCCUACGGGUGGCAG